GACGAACGCUGGCGGCGUGCUUAACACAUGCAAGUCGAACGAAGAGCGAUGGAAGCUUGCUUCUAUCAAUCUUAGUGGCGAACGGGUGAGUAACGCGUAAUCAACCUGCCCUUCAGAGGGGGACAACAGUUGGAGACGACUGCUAAUACCGCAUACGAUCUAAUCUCGGCAUCGAGGAUAGAUGAAAGGUGGCCUCUACAUGUAAGCUAUCACUGAAGGAGGGGAUUGCGUCUGAUUAGCUAGUUGGAGGGGUAACGGCCCACCAAGGCGAUGAUCAGUAGCCGGUCUGAGAGGAUGAACGGCCACAUUGGGACUGAGACACGGCCCAGACUCCUACGGGAGGCAGCAGUGGGGAAUCUUCCGCAAUGGACGAAAGUCUGACGGAGCAACGCCGCGUGAGUGAUGACGGCCUUCGGGUUGUAAAGCUCUGUUAAUCGGGACGAAAGGCCUUCUUGCGAAUAGUGAGAAGGAUUGACGGUACCGGAAUAGAAAGCCACGGCUAACUACGUG
rnacentral:rRNA from 1 species